AUUGACCGCUGGCGGCAGGCCUAACACAUGCAAGUCGAGCGAGCGGCGGACGGGUGAGUAAUGUAUGGGAAACUGCCUGAUGGAGGGGGAUAACUACUGGAAACGGUAGCUAAUACCGAAUACCAUCAGAUGUGCCCAGAUGGGGUUAGAUCGUAGGUGGGGUAACGGCUCACCUAGGAGACGAGCCCUCGCUGGUCUGAGAGGAGGACCAGCCACACUGGAACUGAUACACGGUCCAGACUCCUACGGGAGGCAGCAGUUGGGAAUAUUGCACAAUGGGCGCAAGCCUGAUGCAGCCAUGCCGCGUGUGUGAAGAAGGCCUUCGGGUUGUAAAGCACUUUCAGCGGGGAGGCGUUACCCGCAGAAGAAGCACCGGCUAACGCCGUGCCAGCAGCCGCGGUAAGUUC
rnacentral:rRNA from 1 species